rnacentral:rRNA from 1 species
CCUACGGGAGGCAGCAGUAGGGAAUCUUUCACAAUGGGCGAAAGCCUGAUGGAGCAACGCCGCGUGCAGGAUGAAGGCCUUCGGGUUGUAAACUGCUUUUAUAAGCGAGAAAUAUGAUGGUAACUUAUGAAUAAGGAUCGGCUAACUACGUUCCAGCAGCCGCGGUCAUACGUAGGAUCCGAGCAUUAUCCGGAGUGACUGGGUGUAAAGAGUUGCGUAGGUGGCAUAAUAAGUAGCUAGUGAAAUCUGGUGGCUCAACCAUUCAGACUAUUAGCUAAACUGUUAAGCUCGAGACCGUUAGGGGUAACUGGAAUUUCUAGUGUAGGAGUGAAAUCCGUAGAUAUUAGAAGGAACACCAAUAGCGUAGGCAGGUUGCUGGGACGGGUCUGACACUAAGGCACGAAAGCGUAGGGAGCAAACGGGAUUAGAUACCCGAGUAGUC